ACGAGGAGCUUGCUCCUUUGACGUUAGCGGCGGACGGGUGAGCCAUUUGUAGGUAACCUACCUAUAAGACUGGGAUAACUUCGGGAAACCGGAGCUAAUACCGGAUAAUAUUUCGAACCGCAUGGUUCGAUAGUGAAAGAUGGCUUUGCUAUCACUUAUAGAUGGACCUGCGCCGUAUUAGCUAGUUGGUAAGGUAACGGCUUACCAAGGCAACGAUACGUAGUCGACCUGAGAGGGUGAUCGGCCACACUGGAACUGAGACACGGUCCAGACUCCUACGGGAGGCAGCAGUAGGGAAUCUUCCGCAAUGGGCGAAAGCCUGACGGAGCAACGCCGCGUGAGUGAUGAAGGUCUUCGGAUCGUAAAACUCUGUUAUUAGGGAAGAACAAACGUGUAAGUAACUGUGCACGUCUUGACGGUACCUAAUCAGAAGGCCACGGCUAACUACGUGCCAGCAGCCGCGGUAAUACGUAGGUGGCAAGCGUUAUCCGGAAUUAUUGGGCGUAAAGCGCGCGUAGGCGGUUUUUUAAGUCUGAUGUGAAAGCCCACGGCUCAACCGUGGAGGGUCAUUGGAAACUGGAAAACUUGAGUGCAGAAGAGGAAAGUGGAAUUCCAUGUGUAGCGGUGAAAUGCGCAGAGAUAUGGAGGAACACCAGUGGCGAAGGCGACUUUCUGGUCUGUAACUGACGCUGAUGUGCGGAAGCGUGGGGAUCAAACAGGAUUAGAUACCCUGGUAGUCCACGCCGUANACGAUGAGUGCUAAGUGUUAGGGGGUUUCCGCCCCUUAGUGCUGCAGCUAACGCAUUAAGCACUCCGCC
rnacentral:rRNA from 1 species